rnacentral:piRNA from 1 species
UAACUCCGGCCCUACUUCCUACUCUCC